rnacentral:rRNA from 1 species
UCUUCCCUCUUUCUUCGUGCCUAAUACAUGCAAGUCGAGCGAACAGACGAGGAGCUUGCUCCUUCGACGUUAGCGGCGGACGGGUGAGUAACACGUAGGUAACCUACCUAUAAGACUGGGAUAACUUCGGGAAACCGGAGCUAAUACCGGAUAAUAUUUCGAACCGCAUGGUUCGAUAGUGAAAGAUGGCUUUGCUAUCACUUAUAGAUGGACCUGCGCCGUAUUAGCUAGUUGGUAAGGUAACGGCUUACCAAGGCAACGAUACGUAGCCGACCUGAGAGGGUGAUCGGCCACACUGGAACUGAGACACGGUCCAGACUCCUACGGGAGGCAGCAGUAGGGAAUCUUCCGCAAUGGGCGAAAGCCUGACGGAGCAACGCCGCGUGAGUGAUGAAGGUCUUCGGAUCGUAAAACUCUGUUAUUAGGGAAGAACAAACGUGUAAGUAACUGUGCACGUCUUGACGGUACCUAAUCAGAAAGCCACGGCUAACUACGUG